rnacentral:rRNA from 1 species
UGGGGGAUAUUGCACAAUGGGCGAAAGCCUGAUGCAGCGACGCCGCGUGGGGGAUGAAGGCUUUCGGGUUGUAAACCUCUUUCGCUAACGAACAAGGCCCGCUUAGGGUGGGUUGAGGGUAGGUGGAGAAGAAGCGCCGGCUAACUACGUGCCAGCAGCCGCGGUAAUACGUAGGGCGCGAGCGUUGUCCGGAAUUAUUGGGCGUAAAGGGCUUGUAGGCGGCUUGUUGCGCCUGCUGUGAAAACGCGGGGCUUAACUUCGCGCGUGCAGUGGGUACGGGCAGGCUUGAGUGUGGUAGGGGUGACUGGAAUUCCAGGUGUAGCGGUGGAAUGCGCAGAUAUCUGGAGGAACACCGAUGGCGAAGGCAGGUCACUGGGCCAUUACUGACGCUGAGGAGCGAAAGCAUGGGUAGCGAGCAGG